rnacentral:rRNA from 1 species
UAGGGAAUCUUCCACAAUGGACGCAAGUCUGAUGGAGCAACGCCGCGUGAGUGAAGAAGGUUUUCGGAUCGUAAAGCUCUGUUGUUGGUGAAGAAGGAUAGAGGCAGUAACUGGUCUUUAUUUGACGGUAAUCAACCAGAAAGUCACGGCUAACUACGUGCCAGCAGCCGCGGUAAUACGUAGGUGGCUAGCGUUGUCCGGAUUUAUUGGGCGUAAAGCGAGCGCAGGCGGAAUGAUAAGUCUGAUGUGAAAGCCCACGGCUCAACCGUGGAACUGCAUCGAAAACUGUCAUUCUUGAGUGCAGAAGAGGAGAGUGGAAUUCCAUGUGUAGCGGUGGAAUGCGUAGAUAUAUGGAAGAACACCAGUGGCGAAGGCGGCUCUCUGGUCUGCAACUGACGCUGAGGCUCGAAAGCAUGGGUAGCGAACAGG